rnacentral:rRNA from 1 species
AGAGUUUGAUCAUGGCUCAGGAUGAACGCUAGCUACAGGCUUAACACAUGCAAGUCGAGGGGAAACGACAUCGAAAGCUUGCUUUUGAUGGGCGUCGACCGGCGCACGGGUGAGUAACGCGUAUCCAACCUGCCCAUCACUUGGGGAUAACCUUGCGAAAGUAAGACUAAUAACCCAAAUGACGUCUCUAGAAGACAUCUGAAAGAGAUUAAAGAUUUAUCGGUGAUGGAUGGGGAUGCGUCUGAUUAGCUUGUUGGCGGGGUAACGGCCCACCAAAGGCGACGAUCAGGUAGGGGUUCUGAGAGGAAGGUCCCCCACAUUGGAACUGAGACACGGUCCAAACUCCUACGGGAGGCA